CCCUAAAUCUUGAUACCUGCCCCACUAAAGUAUCCGCCUGAGAACUACGAGCACAAACGCUUAAAACUCUAAGGACUUGGCGGUGCUCCAAACCCACCUAGAGGAGCCUGUCCUAUAAUCGAUAAUCCACGAUGCACCCAACCACUCCUUGCCAAUGCAGCCUACAUACCGCCGUCGCCAGCCCACCUCCCCUGAGAGAGCCAUAGUGAGCAUAAUAGCCUACCACGCUAGCAAGACAGGUCAAGGUAUAGCCUAUGAAGUGGAAGAGAUGGGCUACAUUUUCUAAAUUAGAAAACCCCACGAAAGAGGGCAUGAAACUGCCCCCCGGAAGGCGGAUUUAGCAGUAAAGAGGGACAAUAGAGCCCCC
rnacentral:rRNA from 1 species